rnacentral:rRNA from 1 species
CAGUCGCCGCGGUAAUACGUAGGUGGCAAGCGUUGUCCGGAAUUAUUGGGCGUAAAGGGCUCGCAGGCGGUUUCUUAAGUCUGAUGUGAAAGCCCCCGGCUCGACCGGGGAGGGUCAUUGGGAAACUGGGAAACUUGAGUGCAGAAGAGGAGAGUGGAAUUCCACGUGUAGCGGUGAAAUGCGUAGAGAUGUGGAGGAACACCAGUGGCGAAGGCGACUCUCUGGUCUGUAACUGACGCUGAGGAGCGAAAGCGUGGGGAGCGAACAGGAUUAGAUACCCGGGUAGUCCCUGUCUCUUAUA